UACGUAGGGUGCGAGCGUUGCCCGGAUUUAUUGGGCGUAAAGGGCGCGUAGGCGGCUCGGCACGUCCGUUGGGAAAUCGCUCGGCUCAACUGGGCGAGGUCAGCGGAUACGGUCGAGCUUGAGCCAGCUAGGGGGCAAUGGAAUUCCCGGUGUAGUGGUGGAAUGCGUAGAUAUCGGGAGGAACACCAGUGGCGAAGGCGGUUGCCUGGGGCUGUGCUGACGCUGAUGCGCGAAAGCGUGGGUAGCAAACGGG
rnacentral:rRNA from 1 species